CCUACGGGGGGCAGCAGUGGGGAAUAUUGCGCAAUGGGCGAAAGCCUGACGCAGCGACGCCGCGUGAGGGAUGAAGGUCUUCGGAUCGUAAACCUCUGUCAGCAGGGAAGAACGGUCACUGUGCUAAUCAGCAGUGAAUUGACGGUACCUGCAAAGGAAGCACCGGCUAACUCCGUGCCAGCAGCCGCGGUAAUACGGAGGGUGCGAGCGUUAAUCGGAAUUACUGGGCGUAAAGCGCUCGUAGGCGGUAUGUCAAGUCAAGGGUGAAAUCCCCGCGCUCAACGUGGGAACUGCCUUUGAAACUGGCAAACUGGGGUGUGUGAGGAGAUAGUGGAAUUCCAGGUGUAGGAGUGAAAUCCGUAGAUAUCUGGAGGAACAUCAGUGGCGAAGGCGACUAUCUGGCACAUAACUGACGCUGAGGAGCGAAAGCGUGGGUAGCAAACAGGAUUAGAUACCCUGGUAGUC
rnacentral:rRNA from 1 species